GUUUUUAUUUGUUUGGUACAGUUCAAAAAUAUGAUCAGAGUUGAGUAAGAGCAUCAAAGAUGACAUUUUAAUACAUUUGAGAAAGUUGAUUGUUAUGACUUUGCCCAAGAUAGUGUUAUCUUAUUGCAGGUAUUUUACAAGAACAAAGGCCUCAUUGGGGGAUUGUUCAGUAGACUGACAUUAAACCCAUAUUUACAUGGUCUUCAGUUGGAAUUUAUGUCUCAAAAAUAUUGCUAAAUGAAUUAAACGUUUGUUUAUAUAGAGUACCAGUACCUGUCAAAAGUUGUACCAUUUUUUACAUUGGUUGAGAGAAUGCCAAGAGUGUGCAAAGCUGUCAUCAAGGCAAAGGAUGGCUACUUUGAAGAAUCUCACACAUAAAAUAUAUUUUGAUUUUUUUAACACUUUUUUUGGUUACUAAAUGAUUCCAUAUCUGUUAUUUCAUAGUGUUGAUAACUUCACUAUUAUAAUACAACGUAGAAAAUAGUCCAAAUAAAGAAAAACGCUGGAAUGAGUAGGUGUGUCCAAACUUUUGACUGGUACUGUAUGUCAGAACAUAAUCCAGUUUUGGCCUGCAGUGCUUUACCCUGGGAAACAUGAUCUUAAAUGGUGGGAUUGUUGGUACAAUAUUCCUCUUACCACAGAUAUAAUCCUUGAUAAAUUUGUCCCAGUGCCCAUUCUUGCUAUUCCCACAAUUAUAGCUCCAGACAAUUUGCAUAGGAAUAUGCACAUUGCCAAAGCGGUACAUGGAUUGAGAAAACAUGACCUCAGUUGCCUGUCUAGGCAUUGCAGAUGUUAUAUUAACUACUAUGUUGUGUCUUACCAAUUUCACUGAACUUAAUGAACUUUUCCACUUGACUUUUGUUGUAUUUUCAGUGUGUUUAUGUAGGGUUUACAAACGGUUACUCUCCACACUUUUUUUAGACUCACUCUACUGUGUGUCCUCUGAUGAAACCAGAGGGCUGAGGGGGUUUCUAUGGCCCACUUCAAAUGUCCAGAUCACAUAACAAAGGGCUCAUUCAUGUACACUGUCAUGUACACUCUCUUGUACACUUUGGGAUUGUUUACAACUAUUUCAUUUCCAAUAUUCUAUUAUGUGCAGUAUAUCCAUUAUUUCCCCAUUCAUAUUGAAGGUUAAGGGUCAAUUUAUAAAACUGAAAAGUGGCAUUAGUUCAAAUACUGUCUGAUAAGAUUAGAGGAAGGAAAUGGAUCACAACCAAUGAUUUAUAUAUAUACACUAGAUUACCAUCUUGGCACUCCCUCACCAUUGUAAAAACUAUUUUGCAAGCUGUAGAAAUACAUUUAUUAAUGGCAACAACGACAAAAUACACAUAUGUUCUAUUACAGACACCUUAAUGCAUACUUUUUAAAUAUAUUAUUAUAUUGUAUAUAAAACAUUUUUCUUAAAGAAUAAUUUUUGAGAUAACUAAUGUUACUGUGCCUACUACAGCAACAAAAAUACUUAUAUACAUUUAAUUGAAAUACUGUAGAAUUCCAUUCAUUCUUAUGGAGGACUGCUCCUUCUGGCUGACAGUUGGCUUCAAAGUCUCUCAGCGGCCAAUAAAAAGCAUCCGCAAUCCAGGGUUUAUUAAUGUCACAGUACUCAUCUUGCGUUGUGUGCAAUCAUCGACAGGAACUUUAACAUGUAGCACCUGUCACACCCUUAUCUGUUUCACCUGUCCCUGUGAUUGUCUCCACCCCCUCCAGGUGUCGCUUAUUUUCCCCAGUGUAUUUAUCCCUGUGUUUCCUGUCUCUCUGUGCCAGUUCGUCUUAUAUGUUUCCAAGUCAACCAGCGGUUUUCCCGUUCUCCUGCUUUUUGCAUUUCCUCCUUUUUUCUAGUCCUCCCGGUCUUGACCCUUGCCUGUUUCUGGACUUUGUAACCCCCUGCCUGACCAUUCAGCCUGCCUUGACCAUGGGCCUGUCUGCCACUCUGUACCUCCUGGACUCUGAUCUGGUUUUGACCUUUUGCCUGUCCACGACCAUUCUCUUGCCUACUCCUUUUGGCUGAAUAAACAUUGUAAGACUCCAACCAUCUGCCUCCUAUGUCUGCAUCUGGGUCUCGCCUUGUGUCAUGAUAGCACCAGUCAUGGAGAUUUACUCUGAUAGAAACAGCACAAAAUUGCACGUCAUGCAAUGCAUGGCUCACCAUCCAACUCUGCACUCACGCACGCUGGUUUUGUGCUUGUUCACUGGGCAACGUAGAUACAACAAUUACAACAUAUAAUAUUUUCAACAAUGUACCUGAUAGAAAGCACAAAAUUGCACGGCUCACCAUCCAACUCUGCACUCACGUACUGUACAAAAUAUACAACCCCCCCCAGACACAGUAAGUUGCUAGCUAGUACUAGCUGGAAUUCUCUACAACAAAAUGCACAUAAAACCUCUGCCUCUUAUGUGUGAUGUUCUAAUAACAUUUACAUAAAUGUAUCUAAAUUGUACAUUCAAAUCAUCACUCGGGAGUAUAAAAAUCCCUUUUGACGUACAGAGCUUUGCAACCAACAACUUACCUCUGGUUUGGUGCUUGUUCACGGGGAUGAUUCUAACUAAAAACAUCCUCCCUCGUAAGCAACCCAUGCAAACCAUCCAAUAAGAUGCCAUGUUAAGUAGGUGAAGGCAAGACAAAACCAAAAACCCAUUGGCUUAACAAAGGGGAAUCACCAAUAGAACCCUGUUACAUAUACAUCAUUGAUCACAACACAGAUGACCUUUGGAUGGUGCAAACUUGAGGACAUCUUUGGACAGCUGUAACCAGUGUGAAAUGGCUAGCUAAUUGGCUGUGUGAGCUAGUAGUGUUUCAAUUGGUAAUGUCACUCGCUCUGAGACCUUGAAGUAGUUGUUUCCCUUGUUCUGCAAGGACUGUGGCUUUUGUGGAGCGAUAGGUAACGAUGAUUUGAGGUUGACUGUUGAUGUGUGCAGAAAGUCCCUGGUUUAAGCCCAGGUUGGGCCGAAUAGAGGGACGGAAGCAAUACUGUCAUACAACCAUGCUUGUCAGCUAAUGCACACAAGCUAGAUCCUAUUGUAUUUGGCAGGCCACCUCAAGAUAUCGCCAGGGGCACUGAAGUCAAAUUUGAAAGAACAGAUAAGAUAUGAACGCUUUCACUUACCAUUUCCAUUGAGAUUUACUCACACACCAGUGUGUUGCCAGUGUUUUAUGCUAAUGCAGUAGCAGUGUGUGGGUAAAAUCCCUGAGGAAGCCAAGCCAAGCCAGUAAAAAAAGCAAUACAAUCUUUGUUGUGAUAAUUGCAUUGUUUGUUCUAUAACCGAUUCGUUCAUACGCCACCAUGAUAUACAAUAAGGUCGUGACAACAAAAACAACAGUCACUCAGUAACAGGAUAAAUUCAACUACCCUUACGUUUGUUUCAUCACAAAACUGCAGAGCGACAUCUGUCCGCUGAAGUCCACAAAGCAAAUAUUGCAUGUAACAAACAGUUAAGUCACCUGCAGCACGGUCAAGCAAGUUAAGGUUUUUACAGUUUACUCAACAACUACUGAUUUAGAACAACAGAGUUACCGCAAGUCAGCGCAAAAACAACAGGAGCACUGUCUCCGCCAUUCCAGCAUCAUUUCCAUUUAGACAUUUAUCAAAUCAACAAGGCUAUUUAAACAUUCAUCAAAUCAACAGUGCUAUAUAUGCUUAAAGAUCAAAUAUAUGUGGUUAAAGAUACCAAAAAUGAUUUAGUCCAAUCAAUGUUAUUCAAUAUCACGUGGCUGUCCUAGUAAGCUAGCUACUUUUUUAAUGUAUUUAUUUAACCUUUUUUUUAAAAACUAGGCAAGUGAAUUAAGAACAAAUUCUUAUUUACAAUGACGGCCUACAAAGAGGCAAAAGGCCUCCUGCGGAGAUAGGGGCUGGGAUUAAAAAGAAAAAUGCUAAUACAGGACAUCAACACAAGCAGACCAGAAACAGACAAUUAAGUUUUGCUUAGAAAUUGAUUUCAUUAGUGUGAAGCCAAAUCCAAACUGGCCAUCCUUAGGGGGCGUUUUGCUGCACCAGGACAACCCACAGUUCAGCUCAUCUCAGCUCAACGCUGAUUGCCAAAAUGUUUUAUCGAUGGAGGCCAAAUCAAAUCAAAUGUAUUUCUAUAGCCCUUCUUACAUCAGCUGAUAUCUCAAAGUGCUGUACAGAAACCCAGCCUAAAACCCCAAACAGCAAGCAAUGCAGGUGUAGAAGCACGGUGGCUAGGAAAAAAUCCCUAGAAAGGCCAAAACCUAGGAGGAAACCUAGAGAGGAACCAGGCUAUAAGGGGUGGCCAGUCCUCUUCUGGCUGUGCUGGGUGGAGAUUAUAACAGAACAUGGCCAAGAUGUUCAAAUGUUUAUAAAUGACCAGCAUGGUCAAAUAAUAAUAAUCACAGUAGUUGUCGAGGGUGCAACAGGUCAGCACCUCAGGAGUAAAUGUCAGUUGGCUUUUCAUAGCCGAUCAUUGAGAGUAUCUCUGCCGCUCCUGCUGUCUCUAGAGUUGAAAACAGCAGGUCUGGGACAGGUAGCACGUCCGGUGAACAGGUCAGGAUUCCAUAGCCGGAGGCAGAACAGUUGAAACUGGAGCAGCAGCAUGGCCAGGUGGACUGGGGACAGAAAGGAGUCAUCGUGCCAGGUAGUCCUGAGGCAUGGUCCUAGGGCUCAGGUCCUCCGAGAGAGAAAGAAAGAAAGAGAAUUAGAGAGAGCAUACUUAAAUUGACACAGGACACCGUAUAAGACAGGAGAAAUACUCCAGAUAUAACAGACUAACCCUAGCCCCCCGACACAUAAACUACUGCAGCAUAAAUACUGGAGGCUGAGACAGGAGGGGUCAGGAGACACAAAUGCUUGCUGGCAUCAAUCAAUCAAAUUCUAUGCCAGCAACAUGUUAUACUCUUUUGGUCCAGACAGCAUCUGAUACAGGGCUAAACAUACUGAGACAGAUUGAUGCUGUUUCCCUCGCUCUGAUGAUUUCUCCGGUAAGAUUCAGCCACUUGCGAAUUGACGGAAAAUUAUAAAAACACACAGAGAGACGAAAGAUAAAUUAUUUUAUCAUUUGUAUUUUUUUGUUCAUCAAAUAUUUGGGCAGCCUGGCUUCCCUUGGCGUCCAAGAACACAUGCAACUGUGCUAAUGUAAACUCCAGUGUAAUUGUGUUUCCAUAGCUCGGGUUCGUUUCUGUUUCCAUCUACGCAGGCCAGCAUCCGUGUCUCACUGGGCCAUGGAUCCAGGGGACCUGCUCUGACUUAGGGCCAAUGCCAGGCAAGCUGGAAUUUAAAUUUCAAAGGCCUAACACCUUUUCAAAAGGCAACUGUCUUGAUGAUGCAGAGGUUGUUGAUUCUGCUAUACCCAAGUCUUUAGUGGCACACUACUGAUGCAAUAACAAUUACACUAGAGCUUACAUUAGCAGAACACUAGCGACACAAUGGUGUGGGGUAAGUCUUAGGUGGAAGUGCACCAUUAAGGAAGUGGCAGACAUAGAAAAAUAUAGGGGAAGCACUCCCUAUGUGUUCAGUGUGUGUCCCACUCCCAGGUCGCCUGCUUGUGGUCUUGUCUCAGCCUGCCUCACUUGUCACCUUGGCGGGCCGCACUGUGAGCCCCUAUACGAACCACCUCGCCCCUAUACCCGUCCACUCGUCCCACGGGUUUCAUUCAAUAGGACGGGAGCACACAGGAGUAAACAAACACAAACACACAGAGAAACAGAGAUGUUGGCGACUGUCGCCAGCUAACCCCCGCACCAGUGUCCCUGUCUGAGGAGACGAUUACAUGUUUGUUGUCUGAUGAGAGUCUCUGGUGACAGACUGUGUGACGACGCUCAGAUCCACUGAUACUCCCUGUCUCUCACAUCUUCCAUUGCACCCAAACACAUCAACACAGUCAUCCAUCAUAUCAAACCACAGAGGCGUUUAUCCCCUGACAGCGUUUAUCGCCAUGUAUACUGUAAGGUCAUAGAGUUACAGCCAUAGAAAAAGUAUCUCCAGAACCAAAUUGCUGCGGUCUGAGGGGCUCCGCAGAUUCUAAUGAUUCUAUUUCUUUGGUAACAACCCAGCUAGCACAUAAUUCUCUGAGAGCCAUAUGUUUCUUAGAGCUUGGUAAGAGUGUGGUUGUUAACAGAAUGUUUCUUCAAAGUUCAAAAAUUGUUUCAAAAAAUGUUUCAAGAACGUUAAGCAACAAUAUUCGUCUUUGUGAAUUUCAGUACUUCCACAGACCAUUGCACACAAGUUUCGAUGUGGUUCUAUUUAAAGUCAUAUUUUUGCUGCAUUCUGGGAAUGUUAGAAAAAUGUUGUGACUUAAGCAAUGUUCUCAGAACAUUCAGAGAAUUUAUGGUUCUCUUUUAUGUCAGUUCUUGGCAAUAUUCUGUGAAUUGUUAAGUGUGUUCAGGUGUGUUGGCAGGGACCACUAAUUGGCCACACCAGGGGUGUAUUCAUUACAGAAACCGUUUACCGUAUAAGAACCAAGCGCAAGAAAACAGAGAUACGGGGAGCGACCUAUCUGAAUUUGUCCAAUAGAAACUCUCAUUUGCAUUUUCCGUUUGGAGUAAAUUGUUUCUGUUGCAAAACGUUUUGCAACAGAAUCUUUUCUCAUGUCUGUUUUCAAAGGGUUAAACUAAGAACAUUAACAACAACAGUUACUGUAUAUUAAAAAUAUUGUUUAAAUGUCCUAAAGUAUAUAAACUUAACUGUUGGAACCAAGACUUAAAAAUAACUGAAGAUGGAGGGAAAGUUGGAGCAUAACUAACAAAAUUACAGUUGUAUGCUUAAUCCAAUAGUGACUCAAUAAUCCAUGCUUUCCAGGAACGUUAUCAAGUCAAAAAGUUAUGGACGGAGCUAUAAAGUUGUCUUUCAGAAGUAUUACAAUGUAAACAUACUUUGAAUCCAUCUGCAUAUUUCAAGACAUGGCAUAUGGGGGUGUAGUGAGAUACCCAAAAGGGCUAGAUGAUUCUCUUCUCAUCACUCAAUCAAUUCGCCAUCAUUAACACAAUGGAAAAAUCUAAACUAUUAUUAUCGAAAUAUUGAAAUAGCAUGGGCGACUGAGAAAAAUGAAUUGGUACAAUUUAAGGCCAAUUGCCAAACAAUAAUGCAGGCACUAGGGAUGGGUGAUGUGAGCAUGAGGGUCUGGGCAGAUGAUAUGUAGUCAUUGUUUGUGUGCAUCUGUAAGUUGUUGUUCGUAUGUAUAAGUUUGUAUCUGGAAUGGGGGGAAAAAGGUCACAACCUUUAGAGAAUGUUAUUUAAUUACCUUCAAAUAACCUAUCAUUUCUGUUCUCAGCGCGUUAAUAAAACCUCCCAGGAAAACUUUCAGGUAAAAAGAGUAAAACAUUCUCAGAACCUCCCUGCAACUUAAACAUGAACUUUGCCAGAAAAGGCUAAAUGUUCACUUCUGUUCUCAGAUCGUUCCCACAGCCAAUGUAAAACCAAAAACAUACGUUCCCACAACUUCCAAGGAACCAAAUGUGCUAGCUGGGAAUCAAGUGAGUCUGGGUCUUCCAACACUCAGACACUUAUCUCAGCACCUCACCAUUGUUGGAACAGAGCCAGGAAGGGGGAACAGAGACAAACUGCAGGGGUAAACCCCAUACCCACUGCCUCUAGGCCAUACCGCCAGGUAUCACACACAUAAGUUUAACCUCCACAACCACUGUGCUGUUAAACAUACUGAGCUGUCCAGGUACAGUAGAUGGAUUGGAAAGGCUCGGUGUAGAUAAUAGUCACAUUUCCCAUUGACCUUUCACCUGUUACACUUUUCUGAUAAAAUGUCAUCAUACUGUCUGAUAGCCUUUUGCUCACAAUCAGACAGAGACAGAAACAAGCCUUGGCAGUCAUUUUUAUCUGUAGCCAGCUUCUAUGGUCAUAUCCGUUGCUUUGAUCAGAUUGCAAGUCAAGAGUGGAACUUUUUGUUGCACUCAGGUGUAAGGCUGUGGUGGUCACAAAAUUUUGUCAGCCAGUGAUUGUCAAGCAAAUAACUCUCGGUCUCACUUAGCAUCUCCUGGCUGGAAUAAAUCCAUGUAAUAUAGCCUACACCUUCCCAAUAAAUCCAUACUUUAUUUUAGACAGGUCUAAAGAAGCAUGAUAUUAAUCAAAUGUAGUCUAUUUCAGAAGAACAGAAUAGUAAACUCUGAGUUGUCCUUAUGCUAGGUCCUGAUCUGGUUAUGCCAAAUGGCUGUGGGCUACACUAGUUAAUUUAACAGACACGAUUAUCUUAGAAUUACGUGGAAUUAUUUUAAAGUAUGACGAAUACAACUGAACAGAGCUGAAUGAAAUAUAAAUUAUAUUUUCUCCAAACGUUUUGAGGGAGUGGCUUUAGUUGUUCUACAAACGUUGGGCUAUUUGUUUUGAUGUUUAACACAUUGUAAGACUGCAUGAUGCGACUAAUGAUGAUUAGAAAAAAAUCGCAUGAAAAGGCAUGAGCUCUGCUUUGUGUUUUGCGGAGGCUGUCGCCUUCUUCAGGCUCGCAUUCACAAUUUGACAAUCUCUUGAAAAUACCUCAAAUAGUGGCCGUAGUGCACCCUAAAAUAGUGUGGCCGUGCGUGCUCCUAAGCACCUCUCAGUCACACGGCUAUUUUAUCCUUCAUGUGAUUGUCUUUAAGGUCCUUAACCAAUUCCGAGGUGCAUAUUGAAGAUAUUGGAAGAACAUUCCACAUUUACUUUUCGUCAGCCAACAAUAUGAGUAGGCCUAACGAACAGCAAAAUCACUAGUCUAUGUCAAUCUACUAUCCCCCACACUGUAUUGCAAAAGACGGACCUAUUCUAUUCUGUGCAAUAAAUACAUAUUCCAAACAUAGUCUGGGACAGUUGUGGGAUGAGAUAGAUCCCAAUUUAAUACAACCACUAGCAUACAUUUGUUUUAAUGCAAUGUAGCUGACGCAGCAGAUCAGAGCAUUUAGCUUUAAAUGUUUCUUAAACUAUUAGGCUAUCUCUUCACAUUAUAAGCGUAGCAAUGCGCACAUGGCAGUAAUGCUUUUAUUAUUAAUGUGCAUUUUUAUGGUGAAAAUGAUCUUCCCCAAACGUGAAACUCACGCGCUGCUUAUGUAUGCCAGUUAGGCUCCCAUGUAAAGCGUAUUAAUGCGCUUAAUUUGAAUACAUUAUUUGGCCACUUUAACUGUGAUACAAACACACUGGGCUAGGCUACAUGAGGUGUGCGACUAUGAUUAGAAAAAGUAGCAAAAAAUUGCAUUUUUCUUGCCUUAUGCUGGCAACAUUCACAAGUGAUAAUAUAUCAUUGAUAGGCUAGUAUUGUCACCAUCAGACUAUUCCUGAUUCAAUCUUGUCUUUACAUAUGCUAAAUAAUAUACAGUACCCAAUCAAAAGUUUGGACACACCUACUCAUUCAAAGGUUUUUCUUUAUUUUUACUAUUUUCUACAUUGUAUAGUAAAUAACACACAUGGAAAUAACACACAUGGAAUCAUGUAAUAACCAAAAAAGUGUUAAACAACUAAAAAUACUGUAUAUUUUAUAUUUGAGAUUCAUCAAAGUAGCCACCAUUUGCCUUGAUGACAGCUUUGCACAUUAUUUGCAUUCUCUCAACCAGCUUCACCUGGAAUGCUUGUUCAACAGUCUUGAAGGAGUUCCCACAUAUGCUGAACUCUUGUUGGCUGCUUUUCCUUCACUCUGUGGUCCAAUUCAUCCCAAACCAUCUCAAUUGGGUUAAGGUUGGGUGAUUGUGGAGGCCAGGUCAUCUGAUGUAGCACUCCAUCACUCGCCUUCUUGAUCAAAUUGCCCUUACACAGCUUGGAGGUGUGUUGGGUCAUUGUCCUGUUGAAAAACAAAUUUUAGUCCCACUAAGCGCAAACCAGGUGGGAUGGCAUAUCGCUGCAGGAUGCUGUGGUAGCCAUGCUGGUUAAGUGAGCCUUGA
ensembl:lncRNA